AGUUUGAUCCUGGCUCAGGAUGAACGCUAGCGGCAGGCCUAAUACAUGCAAGUCGAACGGGAUUGGAGAGCUUGCUUUCCAUGAGAGUGGCGUACGGGUGCGUAACGCGUAUGCAACCUACCUUCAUCAGGGGGAUAGCCCGAAGAAAUUCGGAUUAACACCGCAUAACAUUAUUGGAUGGCAUCAUUUAAUAAUCAAAUAUUUAUAGGAUGAAGAUGGGCAUGCGUGUCAUUAGCUAGUUGGUGAGGUAACGGCUCACCAAGGCGACGAUGACUAGGGGAUCUGAGAGGAUGACCCCCCACACUGGUACUGAGACACGGACCAGACUCCUACGGGAGGCAGCAGUAAGGAAUAUUGGUCAAUGGAGGCAACUCUGAACCAGCCAUGCCGCGUGCAGGAAGACUGCCUUAUGGGUUGUAAACUGCUUUUAUACGGGAAUAAACCUUGAUUCGUGAAUCGAGCUGAAUGUACCGUAAGAAUAAGGAUCGGCUAACUCCGUGCCAGCAGCCGCGGUAAUACGGAGGAUCCAAGCGUUAUCCGGAUUUAUUGGGUUUAAAGGGAGCGUAGGCGGCCUAUUAAGUCAGGGGUGAAAGACGGUGGCUCAACCAUCGCAGUGCCUUUGAUACUGGUAGGCUUGAAUGUAGUUGAGGUAGGCGGAAUGUGACAAGUAGCGGUGAAAUGCAUAGAUAUGUCACAGAACACCGAUUGCGAAGGCAGCUUACUAAGCUAUGAUUGACGCUGAGGCUCGAAAGCGUGGGGAUCAAACAGGAUUAGAUACCCUGGUAGUCCACGCCCUAAACGAUGAUAACUCGAUGUUGGCGAUAUACAGUCAGCGUCCAAGCGAAAGCGUUAAGUUAUCCACCUGGGGAGUACGCCCGCAAGGGUGAAACUCAAAGGAAUUGACGGGGGCCCGCACAAGCGGAGGAGCAUGUGGUUUAAUUCGAUGAUACUCGUG
rnacentral:rRNA from 1 species